UGGAGCAUGUGGUUUAAUUCGAAGCAACGCGCAGAACCUUACCAGCCUUUGACAUCCUAGGACGACUUCUGGAGACAGAUUUCUUCCCUUCGGGGACCUAGUGACAGGUGCUGCAUGGCUGUCGUCAGCUCGUGUCGUGAGAUGUUGGGUUAAGUCCCGCAACGAGCGCAACCCUCGUCCUUAGUUGCCAUCAUUAAGUUGGGCACUUUAAGGAAACUGCCGGUGAUAAGCCGGAGGAAGGUGGGGAUGACGUCAAGUCCUCAUGGCCCUUACAGGCUGGGCUACACACGUGCUACAAUGGCAUCUACAGUGGGCAGCUAUUCCGCAAGGAUGCGCUAAUCUCCAAAAGAUGUCUCAGUUCGGAUUGUCCUCUGCAACUCGAGGGCAUGAAGGCGGAAUCGCUAGUAAUCGCGGAUCAGCAUGCCGCGGUGAAUACGUUCCCAGGCCUUGUACACACCGCCCGUCACACCAUGGGAGUUGGAUUCACCCGAAGGCAGUGCGCUAACCGCAAGGAGGCAGCUGACCACGGUGGGUUCAGCGACUGGGGUGAAGUAGUGACAAGGUAACCGUA
rnacentral:rRNA from 1 species